UACGAAGGGGGCUAGCGUUGUUCGGAAUUACUGGGCGUAAAGCGUACGUAGGCGGCCAUUCAAGUCAGAGGUGAAAGCCCGGGGCUCAACUCCGGAACUGCCUUUGAAACUAGGUGGCUUGAACACGGGAGAGGUGAGUGGAAUUCCGAGUGUAGAGGUGAAGUUCGUAGAUAUUCGGAAGAACACCAGUGGCGAAGGCGGCUCACUGGACCGUUGUUGACGCUGAGGUACGAAAGCGUGGGGAGCAAACAGG
rnacentral:rRNA from 1 species